rnacentral:rRNA from 1 species
UUCUAUUAGAAAUAAUUAAUAGUAUAGCCUGCUCAAUGAAAUUCAAUAGCCGCAAAAUCUGUGCUAAGGUAGCAUAAUAAUUUGUCUUUUAAAUAAAGAACCGAACAAAUGACUAAAUAUUUUAUUUAUUUUCUUAAUUUUAACUUUCAAAACUAUCUUAAAUGUAAAAAGACAUUUAUCAAAAAGAAAGACGAUAAGACCCUAUCAAACUUCACUUAAGUUUAGCUGGGGCAGCUAAUUAAAUAUAACUUUAAUUUAAAUAAUUUAACAAAAGACCUAAUACAAUUAAUUUUUAGAUCAAGUUACUGUAGGGAUAACAGCGCAAUUUAUAUUUUAAGACCUUAUAAAAAUAUAAGAUUACGACCUCGAUGUUGAAUAAUAACCUAUAAAUUCGCAAAAGAAUAACAAGGAAGUCUGUUCGACUUUUAAAAAAUUACA